AAAUAAAACCAUUUGUCCCCACAACUGUUUGUGAAAAAAUAAAAAUGAAAUGCGGUAGUCUGAAUGGAAUUUCACAGUGUUGACUUACUGUUUGCUAUAAAGUAUUUAAUUGAUACAAUCAUUUCAUCUCGUAGACUUUUAUUUAGUGCGACGAAAAAGCAUUCAGUCAAAAUUAAAAUGAGAAGACACUGUAGAACGAACAUUGUAAGAAAUUGGUUUAAUGUUUUUAGAAAAAAUUCUUUACCGCUUUCUUUUAUUAAACAGAAACAAGAUUACAGGUCUCCCUUGCUUUGGCUUUCACGGAAGUGUGUUGAAUUGGAUUUAUAAUUUAAGAUCAUACUUCGUGACAUAUACGCUGGCUAUUAAGUAUGCAAUUAGAGCCUUAGGAUUUUUUAGCUAUGGUCUAAGUGAUAAUCAGCUUUCGUGGAAAAGUUAUAUUUUAAUCAGAACAGUUGUCUAAGUGAUCUGUGGCUGUAAAACGUUAGAAAGCCGGUUUCUCAGAUAAAAUACCUUAACUACAAUCGAAUUACUAAUUACCUCAAAAAGUUUCGAUUCAUUUAGACUAAUCUUCGUACUCAUAAAAUAUUAUUUUUACAAUACAUAGUUAUAAA